rnacentral:rRNA from 1 species
AUUGAACGCUGGCGGCAAUGCUUUACACAUGCAAGUCGAACGGCAGCACAGGGAGCUUGCUCCCGGGUGGCGAGUGGCGCACGGGUGAGUAAUACAUCGGAAACGUCGUCCUGUUGUGGGGGAUAACCUGGCUCGAAAGGGUGGCUAAUACCGCAUGAGACCUGAGGGUGAAAGCGGGGGAUCGCAAGACCUCGCGCAAUUGGAGCGGCCGAUGCCCGAUUAGCUAGUUGGUGAGGUAAAGGCUCACCAAGGCGACGAUCGGUAGCUGGUCUGAGAGGACGACCCAGCCACACUGGGACU